rnacentral:misc_RNA from 1 species
UAAUAAGUGUUUUAUGGCACUUUUUAAAUCCAUAUCCACCUUGUGUGCAAUGUCAGUCGAUCUUCUUCAUGGAGAUCGACCAAACAUCAACCUUUAUCUUUUAACUCUUUGUCCGAAAAAUAUUAUGAAUAAACAAUUCAAAAUA